CUUGAUCGACCCCAGCCACAGCGGGCGGGAGCGAUCCUGGCCGUAGGUGGCCAACAACGCCUGCGCCUC
rnacentral:antisense_RNA from 1 species